rnacentral:SRP_RNA from 18 species
CGGAGGCAGCCCAGGCCGAGCUCAAAGAGGCUGAGGAGCGCCUCCGAAUCCGCGAUCGCACAGCGGCUGCCCGCGAGGCACGCAUCACGGAGCGCGAGCAGGACCUGCUCCAGGCAG